rnacentral:rRNA from 1 species
GUGUCAGCAGCCGCGGUAAAACGUAGGACGCAAGCGUUAUCCGGAAUUACUGGGCGUAAAGCGCGCGCAGGCGGGGCGGUUAGUCCGCUGUGAAAGCUCCUGGCUAAACUGGGAGAGGUCAGUGGAAACUGCCGCUCUGGAGGGUGUCAGAGGCGAGUGGAAUUCCGCGUGUAGUGGUGAAAUGCGUAGAGAUGCGGAGGAACACCCGUGGCGAAGGCGGCUCGCUAGGACAACCCUGACGCUGAGGCGCGAAAGCAUGGGGAGCGAACGGGAUUAGAAACCCCCGUAGUCC